UACGUAGGGACCAAGCGUUGUUCGGAUUUACUGGGCGUAAAGGGCGCGUAGGCGGCAAUUCAAGUCAUCUGUGAAAUCUCCGGGCUUAACUCGGAACGGUCAGAUGAUACUGCUUUGCUCGAGUGCGGAAGGGGCAAUCGGAAUUCUUGGUGUAGCGGUGAAAUGCGUAGAUAUCAAGAGGAACACCUGAGGUGAAGACGGGUUGCUGGGCCGACACUGACGUGAAGCGCGAAAGCCAGGGGAGCAAACGGG
rnacentral:rRNA from 1 species